UACGAAGGGGGCUAGCGUUGCUCGGAAUCACUGGGCGUAAAGCGCACGUAGGCGGACUCUUAAGUCGGUGGUGAAAUCCUGGAGCUCAACUCCAGAACUGCCUUCGAUACUGGGAGUCUCGAGUUCGGAAGAGGUGAGUGGAACUGCGAGUGUAGAGGUGAAAUUCGUAGAUAUUCGCAAGAACACCAGUGGCGAAGGCGGCUCACUGGUCCGAUACUGACGCUGAGGUGCGAAAGCGUGGGGAGCAAACAGG
rnacentral:rRNA from 1 species